UAUCCGGGGCCUUGGCGCUUCUCUUCCUUUCGCGCCGGCUGCCGCUGUGGAGCGGCGAGUCCAUGUGCGCAUCGAGCGGCGCUGCCCUGCCCUCCGCCUCCCCGCGCGCCGCCCGCCCCGCCCCGGCCCGGCCAUGGACCCCAACACCAUCAUCGAGGCCCUGCGGGGCACCAUGGACCCGGCUCUGCGGGAAGCCGCCGAGAGGCAGCUCAAUGAGGCUCAUAAGUCAGUGAACUUUGUUUCAACUCUGCUUCAGAUCACUAUGUCAGAGCAACUGGAUUUACCAGUGAGACAGGCAGGUGUUAUCUACUUGAAGAAUAUGAUAACUCAGUAUUGGCCUGAUCGUGAAACUACACCAGGGGAAAUCCCACCUUAUUCCAUCCCAGAAGAAGAUAGACAUUGUAUUCGUGAAAAUAUUGUAGAAGCCAUUAUUCAUUCCCCUGAACUAAUUAGAGUACAGCUUACUACUUGCAUUCACCAUAUUAUCAAGCAUGAUUACCCUAACCGCUGGACUGCAGUUGUGGAGAAAAUUGGUUUUUAUCUUCAGUCUGAUAACAGUGCUUGCUGGCUUGGAAUUCUCCUUUGUCUUUAUCAACUCGUGAAAAACUAUGAGUACAAGAAACCAGAGGAGCGGAGUCCCUUGAUAGCAGCAAUGCAGCACUUCCUGCCUGUUCUGAAAGAUCGUUUCAUUCAGCUUCUGUCUGAUCCAUCUGAUCAGUCUGUCCUCAUCCAGAAACAGAUCUUCAAAAUCUUCUAUGCUCUUGUUCAGUAUACGUUACCUCUGGAGCUGAUAAAUCAGCAGAACCUGACAGAAUGGAUAGAAAUUCUAAAAACGGUUGUGGACAGAGAUGUACCUGCUGAAACUCUUCAAGUUGAUGAAGAUGAUAGACCAGAAUUGCCUUGGUGGAAAUCCAAGAAAUGGGCUUUGCACAUCUUGGCUAGACUUUUUGAGAGGUAUGGAAGCCCUGGUAAUGUUUCCAAGGAGUACAAUGAAUUUGCUGAAGUGUUCCUAAAGGCAUUUGCUGUUGGUGUCCAACAGGUGUUGCUGAAGGUGCUGUAUCAGUACAAGGAAAAGCAGUACAUGGCUCCUAGAGUUCUUCAGCAAACACUGAACUACAUCAAUCAAGGAGUGUCACAUGCUGUGACCUGGAAGAAUCUGAAGCCCCAUAUUCAAGGAAUUAUCCAAGAUGUUAUAUUUCCACUGAUGUGCUAUACAGAUGCUGAUGAGGAGCUGUGGCAAGAAGACCCAUAUGAAUACAUACGUAUGAAGUUUGAUGUGUUUGAAGACUUCAUUUCUCCUACAACUGCUGCUCAGACAUUGUUGUUUACAGCAUGUAGUAAAAGAAAAGAGGUCCUGCAGAAGACCAUGGGCUUUUGUUAUCAGAUCCUCACAGAGCCAAAUGCUGAUCCCCGUAAGAAAGAUGGUGCUCUACAUAUGAUUGGUUCUUUGGCUGAAAUUCUCCUAAAAAAGAAGAUAUACAAAGAUCAGAUGGAGUACAUGUUGCAGAAUCAUGUGUUCCCUCUCUUCAGCAGUGAGCUGGGCUAUAUGAGAGCACGGGCUUGCUGGGUCCUUCAUUAUUUCUGUGAAGUUAAAUUUAAGAGUGACCAGAACCUCCAGACAGCCCUAGAACUCACAAGACGAUGUCUGAUCGAUGAUAGGGAAAUGCCUGUGAAAGUGGAAGCUGCCAUAGCACUUCAGGUUUUGAUCAGUAAUCAAGAGAAAGCUAAGGAAUAUAUUACACCAUUCAUUAGACCUGUAAUGCAAGCUCUGCUUCAUAUUAUAAGAGAGACUGAAAAUGAUGAUCUUACCAAUGUGAUUCAGAAAAUGAUCUGUGAAUAUAGUGAAGAGGUUACUCCCAUUGCAGUAGAAAUGACCCAGCAUUUGGCAAUGACAUUUAACCAAGUCAUUCAGACUGGACCAGAUGAAGAAGGCAGUGAUGACAAAGCAGUGACAGCAAUGGGAAUUUUGAAUACCAUUGAUACACUCCUCAGUGUAGUUGAAGAUCACAAAGAGAUUACGCAACAAUUGGAAGGGAUCUGUUUGCAAGUUAUUGGAACAGUUUUACAGCAGCAUGUUUUAGAAUUCUAUGAAGAGAUCUUUUCCUUGGCUCACAGUCUGACAUGUCAGCAAGUCUCUGCACAGAUGUGGCAGCUUUUGCCUCUUGUUUUUGAAGUUUUUCAGCAGGAUGGCUUUGAUUACUUUACAGAUAUGAUGCCUCUCUUGCAUAAUUAUGUAACUGUCGAUACAGACACGCUUCUGUCUGACACAAAAUAUCUUGAAAUGAUCUACAGUAUGUGUAAAAAGGUCCUUACCGGAGUUGCAGGAGAAGAUGCAGAAUGCCAUGCAGCAAAGCUAUUGGAAGUCGUCAUUUUACAGUGCAAAGGGCGUGGCAUUGAUCAGUGUAUACCUUUGUUUGUGGAAGCUGCAUUAGAGAGAUUGACCAGAGAGGUGAAAACAAGUGAACUGCGAACGAUGUGCCUCCAGGUUGCCAUAGCUGCUUUGUAUUACAACCCUCAUCUGUUAUUAAAUACCUUGGAAAAUCUUCGUUUCCCCAAUAACGUGGAGCCUGUCACUAAUCACUUCAUUACACAGUGGCUUAAUGAUGUAGACUGUUUCUUGGGACUUCAUGAUAGAAAGAUGUGUGUGCUGGGCUUGUGCGCUCUUAUUGAUCUGGAGCAAAUACCACAGGUUUUAAAUCAAGUUUCAGGACAGAUCUUGCCAGCUUUUAUCCUUUUAUUUAAUGGAUUGAAAAGAGCAUACGCUUGCCAUGCAGAGCAUGAAAAUGACAGUGAUGAUGAUGAUGAAGCUGAAGAAGAUGAGGAAACUGAGGAAUUAGGGAGUGAUGAAGAUGAUAUUGAUGAAGAUGGACAAGAAUACCUAGAGAUUCUGGCAAAACAGGCAGGAGAAGAUGGAGACGAUGAGGACUGGGAAGAAGAUGAUGCUGAAGAGACUGCUCUGGAGGGCUAUUCAACAAUUAUUGAUGAUGAAGACAACCCUGUUGAUGAAUAUCAGAUAUUUAAAGCAAUUUUUCAGACAAUUCAGAAUCGUAACCCCGUUUGGUACCAAGCUUUGACACAUGGUCUUAAUGAAGAACAAAGAAAACAGUUACAGGACAUAGCAACUCUAGCAGAUCAAAGGCGGGCAGCCCACGUUUGCACCAACCUAUGCAGUGUAGCAGCCUUAACUGGAAGGAGACGGUUUAUUUUGUGUGUGUGCCCAUGUGCAUAGAGAACAACUUUCCUCUCCUCGUUGUUCCAUUUAUAUUUCCCCUCCUACUGUUGAAUCUGGGCAGGAACAUUGAAUUUUUCAUUGACGUUCAAAUGGUGCUUAUUUAGUACAAAAUCCAAAAUGAUUGAAAAGCAUGGAGGAUACAAAUUCAAUGCUCCAGUUGUGCCAAGUUCGUUCAAUUUUGGAGGUCCAGCCUCAGGAAUGAAUUGAAUUAUCAUUUUUCCUGCUACUGUGUGAUUGUAGUGAAGAGCUUGUGUUCCUCCCAAUAGUGGUUCCAGAACUGGUUCAUGUUAUCUACAACUCACUCUAAACGAAUUGAUAAAUAGAUUGGACAAAAAAAACCCAGGAAGUGGGACCUGAUCAUGCAACCUAAUACUGGAAAGCAAACCAGAGGUUUUUUGAAGAUAGGAAGAACCUGACUUGAAAGCUUCAAAUGACACACUGUGGAAAUCUGAAAUCAAGAGGGGAUGUCAUGAAGGCAGCUUUUCUUUUUCUGAGGAAAAAAUAGGCAUGGGCUGCAGGACUAUUUAAAAUGUCUCAUUUACAGGACAAGCUAGAAGGCUGAUUUAAUUUUGACACUUGUGGCAGUAUGAGUAUUGGCCCAAUUUCCUUCCCUGUCCCUCCUCUCUAUUGGGUGUUUAUUCUUUUCAUGUAAAUAAGAUAAGGUAAUCGGAUAGCCUUACUUAAUCUUCAUCAUUUCCAUUCAUCAAGAUUGUUCAUAUGUAGAAUAUUGGACACUUAUUGUAGCACUACAUAACUGGUAAAUCUGUAAAUGAAUUAGCACUUUCAUAUUGAAACAAGCCUGCUAGCCUAUGUACAAAAUAGCAAAAUGUUUGCUGUUUAUUAAAAAAAAAAAAAAAAAAAAAGGAUGUAAUGGGGAAAAUAAUUUCAAGUUUUAAUUUAAAAUUAACUAGCAGUUUUGUACCUGGUGACUUUGUGGUGCAGUCACCUCUGGUUGUGACUUGAAUUCGGUUAUGUAAAAAGGGGUUAGUGAUAUUUCAUUGCUGCUAAAAAACAAACAAGAAAAAGGCAACACCCUCUGUGUCCUUUGUUUUUCUUAAAGCUCUCAAUGUACAAGUGGAAAUUUGGAGACAAAAUCUUAAUGUAAGCACUGAGAAACAUUAUCUUCUCUGAAGCAUGUAAAUUGGACAUGAAAUUCUGCUCUUAAAGAGUUUAUUGAAGUGUGUGGAUGAAACAUCUAUAUAUGCAAUCUAUUAAAAAUUAAUUCGGCUAACUUGGGCUUGAUCUAUGAUUGCAGUUUAUUCCUAAUUUUGCAAAAUAAUUCAUCCUGUUUUUUUCCCAGCAACUGGUAGUGGCUUUAACCACUACAUUUCCUUCCCUAUUUUUGCACUCCCAGCAUUAAUAUGUGCUCUGUUUGCCUGGUCCAGAUGGGAUGUUUGAGGUUUCACCAAGCUUUCACUUUUGAAGCCAUACUUUCCCCCUUCAUCUCCAGCUGUUAUAGUACCUCGUAUUUUAGCUAGAAAGGCAAAAUAAAGUUCCCUCUGGGACCACUGUCAAAACCACUCUAUCUAGAAGCCAGCAGUAAGGUGCUGUGAAUGGGCUGGUUUAUUGCCCCCUUUUUCUUCUCUGAAAAUCUAAAUUAAUAGUUUGAUCCUGUGUUGAGAUCAUUGGUGUCAAAUCUUUUAAAGCAAACAUUCUUUCUUUUGGCUGUUUUUAUGUGUCACCUGCUGUUACAACUGAUAUUAAACAAGCUACCUUAAUUUAAAUGUAAGCCUCCAAAUCUUAAAUGCAGGUUAAAAUGAACUGAGUUUAUAUCUGUAAAAAAUGAAACUGAAAUGCACAUAUAUAUAGAUAUAUAUAUAUAUAUUAUGAUAUUCAAAAUGCAGUCUUCAGAAAAUUGGUUUGUGUGGUGUGUUUAUUUUUUGAGUCAACAGAGUAACAGGUAUCCAGAAGUUGGGUUUUCCUUGAGUUUGACCAGUAAUAGUUACUACUUUUUGGCUUGUCACACAACUACUAGGACUGUUCUGAGCAGGGCUAAUGGACGUUUCACUUAUGCCUCUGUUUUGGAUUGCCUUUCUCUCACAAAUCUUUCCAUGUGCACAAAAACCAGUUCUAAUGUGAAAGACUAGUCCAAGGCUGUGAUGGAAUGUUUCCCUAUCUGAACACUUUAAGGGGAUAUGUGUAAGCAGUUUGUGGAAUGAAGGAGUAGGAAAGAAUGGAUAUUGCAUCUGGUAUAGAAGAGCCUACGGUUAGCCUUGAGCCUGGGUAUCCUAUAUAGAGAUGUAGUAUGAUAGCCCCAUUAUCACUUGCUGAUUCCUAAAAAGGUUGACUGGCAAAGUACAUAUUUAAAAUAAAACUUCUGAAAAUGUGUAUUCA